ACUUCUUUUUUUUUUUUUUUUUUUUUUUUUCUUUUUUUCCUUUCUUNACACCCGAGGCAUAUGGAGGUUCCCAGGCUAGGGAUCGAAUUGGAGCUGUAGCCGCCAGCCUACACCAGAGCCACAGCAACUCGGGAUCUGAGCCGGGUCUGCGACCUACACCUCAGCUCAUGGCAAUGCUGGAUCAUUAACCCACUGAGCAAGGCCAGGGAUCGAACCCGAAACCUCAUGGUUCCUAGUCGGAUUCGUUAACUACUGAGCCAUGAUGGGAGCUCCACAACUGGAACUUCUUGAAGGGAGAUUUUAAUUCCCUGCUCAGGAAUGGAAACUGGGCAGCCUGCCUGAAAACUAGGAAUCCGAGCUGUAGACCACCAGGAACUAGAAGCUAAAAGCAGAGUUGCCUUAAUUCUUGCCCCCGUUGAAGGCAAGAAUAUCUGAAGAAGGCAAAAAUUGAGUUCCUGUCUGUCUCAGUGGUAACGAACCCAGCUGGUAUCCAAGAGGAUGCAGGUUCGAUAUUAGGGCCGCAGGUAUGGCCCUAAUAUGGGAAAAAAAGGCAGAAAUUGUAAAAAUAGGUACAAAUUUAUUAUUAUGAGCCCAGUGCACAGCUCAUGUGGGAGAACAAUAUAGAAACAAAACAGGGAGUUCCCGUUGUGGUGCAGCAGAAACAAAUCCGACUAGGAACCAUGAGGCCAGGGAUCAAACCGCAACCUGGUCAGAUUUGGCCAGGGAUCAAACCGCAAAUCCUAGUCAGAUUUGUUUCUGCUGCACCACGACGGGAACUCCUCCCCUCCCAUUUGACUCCUAGGAGUCUUUGUGUGUACAUGUAGUCGGGGAGGCCUCCUUGGCCUUAUGAGUGAGAGACUGAUAUGGUUAUCGUAUCUUUCUACUCCAGCAGAGCUCAGCUCCUGCAAUUAGCUUUUUCCUUGAGAAGUCACAGAGAAGCAAGACCCGAUUUACUCAGCCUGACAAGUCCCCUGCUGUUCAGCCCAGGGGCCCAUCCAAUUCCUACCUCAGAUGAUUGAGUGGCUACAACUGAGCUGUGUUCUAAGUCCCUGGACGGGUCUGGUCCUCUGUGUGCAUCUGGUCCAGUCUGGGCUCUGUCCUUUUCACAUGGGGCCUGCUUUGAAUGUCCUCCUUCUAGACACCCUGCUCCUCUGCCUCACAUCCCUCACCCCAUUAUUAUUUUUUUUGGCGGGGGGGGGGGUUUAGGGCCACACUUGCAGCAUAUAGAAAUUCCCCGGGUAGGGGUGAAACAGAGUUGCAGCUGUGGGCAUACACCACAGCCACAGCAACGCAGAAUCUGAGCCAGAUCUGCGACCUACACCACAGCUCACAGUAAUCCCGGAUCCUUAACCCACUGAAUGGAGCCAGGGAUCGAACCUGCCUCCUCAUAGAUACUGGUCGGGUUCAUUUCUGCUGAGCCACAAUGGGAACUCCCCUCACCUUUAUUUUUUCUAUUUUAUUGUCUUUUUGCCUUUUCUAGGGCUGCUCCCUCGACAUAUGGAGGUUUCCAGCCUAGGGGUCUAAUCAGAGCUGUAGCCACCAGCCUACACCACAGCCAUAGCAACGCAGGAUCUGAGCCUCAUCUGCGAUCUACACCACAGCUCAUGGCAGUGCUGGAUCCUUAACCCACUGAGCGAGGCCAGGGAUCGAACCUGCAACCUCAUGAUUCCUAGUCAAAUUCCUUUCCACUGCGCCACGAUAGGAACUUCAGGAGUAGAUAUUAUUGUAACUCCUAUUUUACAGAUACAGAAACAGAGACAUGCAGUAACAUGCCUGUGUCACACACCAGUAAGUAGCAGAGCCAGGAGCCAAGCUUAAGUCAUCCAGAGUCUGGGGACUGCAGGGUGACAGGGUGGCGGGUGUGAGAACUGGCAGAAGGUGCAGCUGAGGGUUUUUUGGUUUGUUUGUUUUAUUGGCCGCACCCGUGGCAUGUGGAAGUUCUUGGGUCAGGGAUCGAACCUACACCACAACGGCAAGCAGCGACCAGAGCUGCUGCAAUGACCAUGCUGAAUCCUUCACCCGCUGGGCCACGGGACAACUCCGUGGGGUUUUUCCAUUAAUUUUCCACCUCGGAAUCCUCUCCUCGGCUCCUCCUCUCUCCCUGUUGCUGCCACACCUAGACCGAACUCAACCCAGGGAAUUAUUGUUUUUUUCCUCUUUGGAUUGUCUUCAGAACCACUGUUUUCUUAUUUUCUUCCAAUGCAACUGGGAGGCAGCCUGACAUUCUUUAGACACUUCACAAUAAAGGAAAGCAAAUGAGAGACAAACCAGAAACUUUAAAACAAACAAACAAACAAAAUCAGUUCCUACCUGGUGAGGCUAGUUGUUAGGCUAGCUGCACAGACAUGAAGCAUCUCUGCAGGGCCCACUCCCACUGGUGAGGGGUCCCACCCAGAACUGUUCCUCUGGGAAACUCUUGGGAGAUGUUUUGCCGUGUUGCUUAUGGGGAUAAUCCCCGAAGGCCAGGCAGGAGCUCCCAACCAGACAGGCCCAGAGUGUCCUCAGAGCUUAACACCUUCACCGCUUCCCUCACCCCGUUCCUGCUGCUCUGCUCUCCAUCCCACACCUUUGGUGCUGCUGUUUUCUGCCCAGACCUGCGCUGCCCAGGCCUCCUGGGCCACGUUCCAGGCUGCAGAAUGCUUCUGCCCUCCUUCCCUGAAGGAAACUCCUAACUGCCUGUAACGCAUGGCUCCUGGCAGAGGGCAUGGGAGACGAGCCUCUCCUGCAGAAGGCAGCACAUCAGGGGUGCAGGCCAGGGGUCCAGAGAGCUUCCCCAGCCUGCAGACCUUGAGGACUGGCCCCCUGGCUUGUUUAUCCGUCCUCAUUCCACCAGCCCAUCUUUCGGAGGCGUCUGUCUGAAGUUUCCAUACCUCCACCUUUCCUCUAAGGACUCCAGCCCUCUCCCGAGGGAAGAGGGAAACAGGAGGUGGGUGGGAGGCCCACCCUUCAGGGGCUCCUGCCUUCUUGCUUCUGAUGUCUGCCCCCCUCUGUUGGUUGAUUGAACUUAUGGUUUCUUGUCUCAUUCAACAGCUGGUUCUGUCCUAGAAGCCCAAAGAAAAGCGUGCCUGAGAAAAUAAUAAAAGAAUUCCUGUGGUAUCUGCUCACAGGAAAGUAGGAGGAAUUUAGCAGGCACGGAGGUAUUAGAAGGGGAAGGUUGUGUUAGCUGGGGGGCCAUCUGAUGCCUCUCAAGUCCUGGCCAUUGGAUUGGCCCCAGCUGCCAGUCCAGUCUUCAUUUGCAAGGCUCUACCAGGUUUGAGACACCUUGCCCCAUGCUGGGCCUUCCCGAUUGGACUCCUGUGGCCACCAGAAUCCCCUUAGCUGCUCCACAUGGUGGGUAAGGUCUGGGCUGACUCUGUGGGUAAAGAAAUCCUUCACACCAUAGCUUUCAAUGUCUCUCAGGGGACAGUAGUGUAGGGUUUGCAAAGUGGAUCCCUUAGGAAUUCUGGUUUCUGUCUGAAGCCAAGCAAUUCAAAGACAGGGUAUUCUGGCCCCUUCUGGAAGUUUAGGUGUGUUUUCAAUAAAAGAAAAAAAAAAAAAAAAAA
rnacentral:lncRNA from 1 species